UUUGUACCGAUGGUGAUGGAACCAGCACCAGCACCAGCACCGACACUGAUAGUAGCACCACCAAUCAAUGCCGCAUCGAUGGCGAAUCCAUAACCAGCCAAUCCUACACAACAACCUGCACUGGUGCCUCAUGAGUGACCGCCAAUCCCCCCAUAGAGCCCUGAGCAAGGGAGACAUACUCAUUAUAAUCAGCCCCAUAGUCUAGAAUGAAGAAGACGAUGGUCCCUGAGUCCUCAUUUCAAGCAGGACUCAACUCCCAGCCAGUGAUCUCCCAUAUAGUGCUCGAAGAACUGUACUGUCCGAGAUGCAGAUGUCGAU
rnacentral:lncRNA from 1 species